rnacentral:rRNA from 1 species
CUGUUUAACUNGAGUGCAGAAGGGGAGAGUGGAAUUCCAUGUGUAGCGGUGAAAUGCGUAGAUAUAUGGAGGAACACCGGUGGCGAAAGCGGCUCUNUGGUCUGUAACUGACGCUGAGGCUCGAAAGCGUGGGGAGCGAACAGGAUUAGAUACCCUGGUAGUCCACGCCGUAAACGAUGAGUGCUAGGUGUUAGGUCCUUUCCGGGACUUAGUGCCGCAGCUAACGCAUUAAGCACUCCGCCUGGGGAGUACGACCGCAAGGUUGAAACUCAAAGGAAUUGACGGGGGCCCGCACAAGCGGUGGAGCAUGUGGUUUAAUUCGAAGCAACGCGAAGAACCUUACCAGGUCUUGACAUCCCGAUGCCCGCUCUAGAGAUAGAGCUUUACUUCGGUACAUCGGUGACAGGUGGUGCAUGGUUGUCGUCAGCUCGUGUCGUGAGAUGUUGGGUUAAGUCCCGCAACGAGCGCAACCCUUAUUGUUAGUUGCCAUCAUUCAGUUGGGCACUCUAGCGAGACUGCCGGUAAUAAACCGGAGGAAGGUGGGGAUGACGUCAAAUCAUCAUGCCCCUUAUGACCUGGGCUACACACGUGCUACAAUGGCUGGUACAACGAGUCGCAAGCCGGUGACGGCAAGCUAAUCUCUGAAAGCCAGUCUCAGUUCGGAUUGUAGGCUGCAACUCGCCUACAUGAAGUCGGAAUCGCUAGUAAUCGCGGAUCAGCACGCCGCGGUGAAUACGUUCCCGGGCCUUGUACACACCGCCCGUCACACCACGAGAGUUUGUAACACCCGAAG